rnacentral:rRNA from 1 species
AGAGUGAAACAAGCAUGUCUAAGUAUAAGCACUUAUCCUGUGAAACUGCGAAUGGCUCAUUUCAUCAGUUAUAGUUUACAGGAUGGUACCUGCUACUCGUAUAACCGUAGUAGUUCUAGAGGUAAUACGUGCGUAAAGCCCGACUUCUGGAAGGGCCGUAUAUAUUAGAUAAAAGCCCGACCAGCUUGGUCGGUCUGCGCUGAAUCAUGAUAUCUUAUCGAAUCGCAUGGCCUUCGUGCCGGCGAUGUUUCAUUCAAAUUUCUGCCCUAUCAACUUUCGAUGGUAGGAUAGAGGCACGCCAUGGUGGUAACGGGUGACGGAGAAUUAGGGUUCGAUUCCGGAGAGGGAGCCGAGAAACGGCUACCACAUCCAAGGAAGGCAGCAGGCGCGCAAAUUACCCACUCGUGACACAGGGAGGUAGUGACAAUACAUAACAAUACCGGGCUUCUUUAAGUUAGGUAAUGGAAUGAGAACAAUGUAAACCCCUUAACGAGGAUCCAUUGAGGGCAAGUCCAU